AACGAACGCUGGCGGCAUGCCUAACACAUGCAAGUCGAACGAAGCCUUCGGGCUUAGUGGCGCACGGGUGCGUAACACGUGGGAAUCUGCCCUUAGGUACGGAAUAACUCAGGGAAACUUGAGCUAAUACCGUAUGAUGUCUUCGGACCAAAGAUUUAUCGCCUAAGGAUGAGCCCGCGUCGGAUUAGCUAGUUGGUGGGGUAAAGGCCUACCAAGGCGACGAUCCGUAGCUGGUCUGAGAGGAUGAUCAGCCACACUGGGACUGAGACACGGCCCAGACUCCUACGGGAGGCAGCAGUGGGGAAUAUUGGACAAUGGGCGAAAGCCUGAUCCAGCAAUGCCGCGUGAGUGAAGAAGGCCUUCGGGUUGUAAAGCUCUUUUACCCGGGAAGAUAAUGACUGUACCGGGAGAAUAAGCCCCGGCUAACUCCGUGCCAGCAGCCGCAGUAAAAC
rnacentral:rRNA from 1 species